UGCCCCUACGGGAGGCAGCAGUGAGGAACAUUGGUCAAUGGCCGCAGGGCUGAACCAGCCAAGUCGCGUGAGGGAUGACGGUCCUAUGGAUUGCAAACCUCUUUUGUCGGGGAGCAAAGAGAGUCACGUGUGGCUCAUUGAGAGUACCCGAAGAAAAAGCAUCGGCUAACUCCGUGCCAGCAGCCGCGGUAAUACGGAGGAUGCGAGCGUUAUCCGGAUUUAUUGGGUUUAAAGGGAGCGUAGGUGGAUUGUUAAGUCUGUUGUGAAAUUUUGCGGCUCAACCGUAAAAUUGCAGUUGAAACUGG
rnacentral:rRNA from 1 species